rnacentral:tRNA from 1 species
GUGGAUAUGGUGAAGCGGUUAACACAUACGACUGUGACUCGUACAUACGUGGGUUCAAAUCCCACUAUCCACCCCA